CAGUCGCCGCGGUAAUACGUAGGUGGCAAGCGUUGUCCGGAAUUAUUGGGCGUAAAGGGCUCGCAGGCGGUUUCUUAAGUCUGAUGUGAAAGCCCCCGGCUCAACCGGGGAGGGUCAUUGGAAACUGGGAAACUUGAGUGCAAAGGAGGAGAGUGGAAUUCCAUGUGUAGCGGUGAAAUGCGUAGAGAUGUGGAGGAACACCAGUGGCGAAGGCGACUCUCUGGUCUGUAACUGACGCUGAGGAGCGAAAGCGUGGGGAGCGAACAGGAUUAGAUACCCCAGUAGUCCCUGUCUCUUAUAC
rnacentral:rRNA from 1 species